ACCAGAGGCAUUUUGUUACAUCACCCAUGCUGUGAGUUCUGGAAUGACGUGGCUAACGGAUCUGCCACCAUAUGCCAGAUGGCUGAGUGAUUCAAGGAUAACACAACAGUCUUGAGUAGUAAUCAGAAGAAUGAAGAUCAUUUGAAGGCCAGUCACCGUGUGCACCAAGGAUUGAUACUGAGGCCAACAGUGUUUAACUUCUUCAUUAAUCACUUAGACAAUGUGGCAGCAUGCACCCUCAGUACUUUGGCAGAUAAUACAAAACUGGAAGGAGUGGCUGACAAUGGGUGUGAUGCCGUUCAGAGGGACAGGCUGGAGAGCUGUACAGGCAGGAAUUUCAAUUCAUCAAAAGUGAAAUGCACAUUUCCAGGGAAAUUCCUGGUGUGGAAUAACCCUGUGAGCCAGUAAAUGUUUGCGGCUGAUAAUCUGUAAAUAAAUUUCACUGAAAAAGGACGUGAGGCACUGAAGGAAAACAAGUUGACCUGAAACCAGA